rnacentral:rRNA from 1 species
GCUAAUACAUGCAAGUCGUACGCACUGGCCCAACUGAUUGAUGGUGCUUGCACCUGAUUGACGAUGGAUCACCAGUGAGUGGCGGACGGGUGAGUAACACGUAGGUAACCUGCCCCGGAGCGGGGGAUAACAUUUGGAAACAGAUGCUAAUACCGCAUAACAACAAAAGCCACAUGGCUUUUGUUUGAAAGAUGGCUUUGGCUAUCACUCUGGGAUGGACCUGCGGUGCAUUAGCUAGUUGGUAAGGUAACGGCUUACCAAGGCGAUGAUGCAUAGCCGAGUUGAGAGACUGAUCGGCCACAAUGGAACUGAGACACGGUCCAUACUCCUACGGGAGGCAGCAGUAGGGAAUCUUCCACAAUGGGCGCAAGCCUGAUGGAGCAACACCGCGUGAGUGAAGAAGGGUUUCGGCUCGUAAAGCUCUGUUGUUGGAAAGAACGUGCGUGAAGUAACUGUUCACGCAGUGACGGUAUCCAACCAGAAAGUCACGGCUAACUACGUGCCAGCAGCCGCGGUAAUACGUAGGUGGCAAGCGUUAUCCGGAUUUAUUGGGCGUAAAGCGAGCGCAGGCGGUUGCUUAGGUCUGAUGUGAAAGCCUUCGGCUUAACCGAAGAAGUGCAUCGGAAACCGGGCGACUUGAGUGCAGAAGAGGACAGUGGAACUCCAUGUGUAGCGGUGGAAUGCGUAGAUAUAUGGAAGAACACCAGUGGCGAAGGCGGCUGUCUGGUCUGCAACUGACGCUGAGGCUCGAAAGCAUGGGUAGCGAACAGGAUUAGAUACCCUGGUAGUCCAUGCCGUAAACGAUGAGUGCUAGGUGUUGGAGGGUUUCCGCCCUUCAGUGCCGGAGCUAACGCAUUAAGCACUCCGCCUGGGGAGUACGACCGCAAGGUUGAAACUCAAAGGAAUUGACGGGGGCCCGCACAAGCGGUGGAGCAUGGGUUUAAUUCGAAGCUACGCGAAGAACCUUACCAGGUCUUGACUCUUGCGCUAACCUUAGAAUAAGGCGUUCCCUUCGGGGACGCAAUGACAGGGGGCAUGGUCGUCGUCACUCGGCGGAGAUUGGGUUAAGUCCCGCAACGAGCGCAACCCUUGUUACUAGUUGCCAGCAUUAAGUUGGGCACUCUAGUGAGACUGCCGGUGACAAACCGGAGGAAGGUGGGGACGACGUCAGAUCAUCAUGCCCCUUAUGACCUGGGCUACACACGUGCUACAAUGGACGGUACAACGAGUCGCAAGCUCGCGAGAGUAAGCUAAUCUCUUAAAGCCGUUCUCAGUUCGGACUGUAGGCUGCAACUCGCCUACACGAAGUCGGAAUCGCUAGUAAUCGCGGAUCAGCAUGCCGCGGUGAAUACGUUCCCGGGCCUUGUACACACCGCCCGUCACACCAUGGGAGUUUGUAACGCCCAAAGUCGGUGGCCUAACCUUUAUGGAGGGAGCCGCCUAAGGCG